AAAAUUCUAUUUCCCAUUUGAGGUAGGGGAAGAACACUCGCACACUAACUCGGUUUCCACUUCCCGGAGGUGGAAGUUCCGGUGGCAGCCGCAGGCGGCGCAGGUGAGUGCACUGCUGGUUCCCUCUUCACCGCUCGCCAUGAACUCUCUGCACCCAUCAACAGCAUACCCUCCAACACCCGCAGCGUGAUUCUUCUGACACUCUCCAUACCUCACACUCCUCACUGUGAAAGAUGAAUUAGCUGAGCUUCUUGAUGGCUCAUCUCUCCUAAGCACAACUUGACGCUUCCUC
rnacentral:lncRNA from 1 species